CCGUCCGUAUGUCACAGCCACUUUUUUCCGAAACUAUAAGAACUAUACUGUUGAAACUUGGUAAGUAGAUGUAUUCUGUGAACCGCAUUAAGAUUUUCACACAAAAAUAGAAAAAAAAAACAAUAAAUUUUGGGGGUUCCCCAUAUUUAGAACUGAAACUCAAAAUUUUUUUUCAUCAAACCCAUGUGUGGGGUUUCUAAUAUCAUUUUUUUCUAAACUGAAUAGUUUGCGCGAGAGACACUUCCAAAGUGGUAAAAUGUGUGUGUGUCCCCCUGCAACUUCUAAAAUAAGAGAAUGAAAAAACUAAAAAAAUAUAUGAUGUACAUUACCAUGCAAACUUCCACAGAAAAUUGGUUUGAACGAGAUCUAGUAAGUAGUUUUUAUUAAUACGUCAUAA